CGGCGCUGAUGCCGUAGCCCGGGUUGCUUCCUUUGAGAAAGGAAGAAAGCGAUGCGGCAUCUUAGCAGAUCGGCAUUCCCGUUCUGCUUCUUGAGGAAGUUAGGAGUUAGGAUUUGGCAUUUUCCUGUCGUAUUCUGCGUCUGAGACUCGUUUCGGACAUUAUUCACCUUGUGGGCGACAGUUAGUCGGAUGGCUGGAUCGAUAACCCUCGGCACCGUUUUAUGGGACUUUUUGAGUGGGAAAGCGGAUUGGCGCAUUGGAGCUUUCUUCCUGCCAAAACCUGUCACUUCGGGCAGCAAUUGCUUUCAGGGGACUGCCUUACAUUCUAAAAGUUAAAAAAAGCUGUGAUCGUGUUUUUCUUCUCCAAUACAUUCUUACAACUACCGGACCCUGCACCUGCGGGAGAAACGCUAGGAUGACGACGACCACGACGGCAUUCUUAAAACUAGAAAGGUGGCUGAGGACUGACUGGAACUGGAUUUAACAUCAGAAGAGCCACAGUUCCCUGUACCUACCUUGAAUCAGGCACUGAACGUAAUUGCUUCGGGAAUAAACGAAAAAGACUGUACAAGAUUGUAUCUGUCUCUCCAAAAUACCAAGAAAGAUUUAAGUUCUCCCCUUUCUUCUAGCAAUGGUUAAUUAUUUCUGCACUUCACAGGCAAUUUCGGUAUCUGAAGCCUAAUUUCUAGGCAUCAGAUUUAUGAAGAAAGGCAGAUUUAAUUAUUUUUGUAGCAAAUCUUGUUUCUAUUAUCAGGGUAGUUGGGAUUCAGAAGUUAACUCAUCUGUAGCAAAAAAAAAAAAAAAACCAAAAACAAACCCACACCUGAGAGCUGAUUUCCUUCAAAACAAUUUACUUUUUAAAUAAAUGUCUGACAUUGAUAAUAAAUGAAAUUGAAAUUGCAGCAAAUAAAAAAAGAAAAAUGGAAAAGGAGUUCCACCUGAUUUGGAUUUAGUUUUGGUGUAAUCCCAGAUCCAACCUUGAAUCUAAGCAGCACUUUUCCAGAUUUAGCCAAUGUAAUACCUGCAUAAAAUCUUUUAGCAAAAUGACUUUAGUUACAUUCCAUUUUGAUAAAAUAAUUAUAUAGUGCUGACUCAGAAGCUGUGUUUUGACGAUUGCAAUAGAAAAGCUUUUAUUGGAUCAUGUAACUCCUUUGUUAGAAAAUGUUUUCUUAGCUUCCCUUCCAGGCAAAAUCUAAAACAUUGGUUAUGACUUCUAAAGCCCUAUUAACGCCCAGAUUUUUAAAGUAUAGUUUUUCUACAUAUCAACUAUAUGAGCUUCAAUUUUUCAGUAGAAAUCUUUGGUAGAAUUAAAGCACUUUUGUUAAAAAA